UAGCGGAGGGUCCAAGCGUUAUCCGGAAUCAUUGGGUUUAAAGGGUCCGUAGGCGGUUUUGUAAGUCAGUGGUGAAAGCCCAUCGCUCAACGGUGGAACGGCCAUUGAUACUGCAAGACUUGAAUUAUUGGGAAGCAACUAGAAUAUGUAGUGUAGCGGUGAAAUGCUUAGAGAUUACAUGGAAUACCAAUUGCGAAGGCAGGUUGCUACCAAUACAUUGACGCUGAUGGACGAAAGCGUGGGGAGCGAACAGG
rnacentral:rRNA from 1 species